AACAUUUUGGCCGUAACAAGCCGCAAACCUUAUUUACACGUACCUCCACAUUCUCCUUCGGCGGGGUAACGCCCGCCGUCGGAACCGACAAACAACCUCUUGCAUCUAGCAUCCUACCCGUUCUGAUAAAAAUUCAAUCGUUA
rnacentral:misc_RNA from 1 species